rnacentral:lncRNA from 1 species
GAGAAUUAAUGUGUUUAUUUUUCAUAAGUGGAAGGCAAAGACUUCCUUUAGCCAAAUUCCAAAAUCUUGAACAAGAAAACACAAUUUAUUAGAGAGAACUUCAGAUAAUCUGUGAAAACCAGUCAGCAACAGCCUCACACCAGUAAAGUCAAGCUUCCAGAAAUUAGCGAAUAAUUGACAGUGCCAACCUUCUAGAAUUCAGCCAGGAGUGUUCAGGCCCCAGCGUAGCUUAAAAGGUAACAACCAAUCAGCGAAUGCCUCACUAUACAACCCCACUUAGAGCCCAGUAAUACUCCUGGAAAUUCAUUGGUCCUUAAACAUGCCCAUUUUUUAAAGUGCCAACUCCUGAAUGCCAGCCUUCCCAUUUUGAGGUGACUGCCUGACAACUAGAGCUCUUCUUUGCAGGCAGGAAAACAGGUAGUUCUCCCCCACUGUCUUUGUACUAGAUACCAGGUUGAAGCCACUGUUAGCUCACAACUUUGCAAACAUUUCAAAGGCUCCACCUUUGAACUCGCAGUUAUGAGUUUGGACUUGUGACAAACUGAUGCACACGGGAAAUUGAAAAAAGCGAUGUUCUCUAUUGCUGCCCACCUUGCUAUUAUCUAUUUUCUGUAU